rnacentral:rRNA from 1 species
AUUGAACGCUGGCGGCAUGCUUUACACAUGCAAGUCGAACGGUAACAGGCCGCAAGGUGCUGACGAGUGGCGAACGGGUGAGUAAUGCAUCGGAACGUGCCCAGUCGUGGGGGAUAACGCAGCGAAAUCUGCGCUAAUACCGCAUACGAUCUAUGGAUGAAAGCGGGGGACCGUAAGGCCUCGCGCGAUUGGAGCGGCCGAUGUCAGAUUAGGUAGUUGGUGGGGUAAAGGCUCACCGAGCCAACGAUCUGUAGCUGGUCUGAGAGGACGACCAGCCACACUGGGACUGAGACACGGCCCAGACUCCUACGGGAGGCAGCAGUGGGGAAUUUUGGACAAUGGGCGCAAGCCUGAUCCAGCAAUGCCGCGUGCAGGAAGAAGGCCUUCGGGUUGUAAACUGCUUUUGUACGGAACGAAAAGGCUCUGGUUAAUACCUGGGGCUAAUGACGGUACCGUAAGAAUAAGCACCGGCUAACUACGUGCCAGCCGCCGCCGUAACAC